rnacentral:rRNA from 1 species
GGAACUCCAUGUGUAGUGGUGAAAUGCGUAGAUAUAUGGAAGAACACCAGUGGCGAAGGCGGCUGUCUGGUCUGUAACUGACGCUGAGGCUCGAAAGUAUGGGUAGCAAACAGGAUUAGAUGCCCUGGUAGUCCAUACCGUAAACGAUGAAUGCUAAGUGUUGGAGGGUUUCCCCCUUCAGUGCUGCAGCUAACGCAUUAAGCAUUCCGCCUGGGGAGUACGGCCGCAAGGCUGAAACUCAAAGGAAUUGACGGGGGCCCGCACAAGCGGUGGAGCAUGUGGUUUAAUUCGAAGCUACGCGAAGAACCUUACCAGGUCUUGACAUACUAUGCAAAUCUAAGAGAUUAGACGUUCCCUUCGGGGACAUGGAUACAGGUGGUGCAUGGUUGUCGUCAGCUCGUGUCGUGAGAUGUUGGGUUAAGUCCCGCAACGAGCGCAACCCUUAUUAUCAGUUGCCAGCAUUAAGUUGGGCACUCUGGUGAGACUGCCGGUGACAAACCGGAGGAAGGUGGGGAUGACGUCAAAUCAUCAUGCCCCUUAUGACCUGGGCUACACACGUGCUACAAUGGAUGGUACAACGAGUUGCGAACUCGCGAGAGUAAGCUAAUCUCUUAAAGCCAUUCUCAGUUCGGAUUGUAGGCUGCAACUCGCCUACAUGAAGUCGGAAUCGCUAGUAAUCGCGGAUCAGCAUGCCGCGGUGAAUACGUUCCCGGGCCUUGUACACACCGCCCGUCACACCAUGAGAGUUUGUAACACCCAAAGUCGGUGGGGUAACCUUUAGGAACCAGCCGCCUAAGGUGGGACAGAUGAUUAGGGUGAAGUCGUAACAAGGUAACCA